rnacentral:rRNA from 1 species
AGAACGAACGCUGGCGGCAGGCCUCAAACAUGCAAGUCUAGGGGGUGUAGCAAUACAUCACCGGCGGACGGGUGCGUAACACGUGGGAAUAUACCUUUGGUUCGGAACAACGCAGGGAAACUUGCGCUAAUACCGAAUGUGCCCUUACGGGGAAAGAUUUAUCGCCAAAGGAUUAGCCCGCGUAGGAUUAGCUAGUUGGUGAGGUAAUAGCUCACCAAGGCUCCGAUCCUUAGCUGUUCUGAGAGGAAGAUCAGCCACACUGGGACUGAGACACGGCCCAGACUCCUACGGGAGGCAGCAGUUGGGAAUCUUGGACAAUGGGGAAACCCUGAUCCAGCCAUGCCGCGUGAGUGAUGAAGGCCUUCGGGUUGUAAAACUCUUUCGACGGGACGAUAAUGACGGUACCCGUAGAAGAAGCUCCGGCUAACUUCGCGCCAGCAGCCGC